CCUACGGGAUGCUGCAGUGGGGGAUAUUGCACAAUGGGGGGAACCCUGAUGCAGCGACGCCGCGUGGGUGAAGGAGUGCUUCGGCACGUAAAGCCCUAUCGGCAGGGAAGAAGCAAGACGGUACCUGACUAAGAAGCGCCGGCGAACUACGGGCCAGCAGCCGCGGUAAUACGCAGGGGGCGAGCGUUAUCCGGAUGCACUGGGUGUAAAGGGAGCGUAGACGGCCAUGCAAGCCAGGGGUGAAAGCCCGGGGGCCAACCCAGGGACUGCCCUUGGAACUGGAUGGCUGGAGUGCGGGAGGGGUAUGCGGAAUGCCUGGUGUAGCGGUGAAAUGCGUAGAUAUCAGGAGGAACACCGGCGGCGAAGGCGGCCUGCUGGACCGCGACUGACGUUGAGGCUCGAAAGCGUGGGGAGCGAACAGGAUUAGAUACCCCAGUAGUC
rnacentral:rRNA from 1 species